rnacentral:lncRNA from 1 species
GCUUUUUCUGAGGUGGCUGAAUCUAGAGUGUAUGAUGUUGGGAUUAAGGGUGUGAGAUUACUAGAUCAGUACACUGAUUGGUUUGGCAUCACCCUAAUUCUGAUAGUCUGGAUAAGAUGUUAUUUUCCCUUGUUGCUUUGCUACCUUCAGUCUGCCAUGAACUCUUGCCCCUCUGCCAUGUGCCACCCUGCCUUGAAGGCCGCCCAUUACCGACUGAAACCUCUACAAACUGUGAGCUAACCCUUUUAACUUUGGGUGGUGGGUAUUUUACUCAGCAACAAAAGCAAAGUAAAUAAGACAGCAAGUUACUGAUGAGUGAGGAAUCCAGCUGAGACCUUCUAAGACUACUCUCAAGAUUGGAUUCUCCAGUAACACAUUUGCCUGCAUCAAAAUGAUGAAAAAUAGACCCAGAGAAUAUUGGUGUGGCAGAGCUUUCCAAAGCAGCUUUUCUGGCAGAAAUCCAGGUGAGGCAGGGCCCCGCAUGGAACAUGGAAUGAAGAACAUGCCUUGUUUGCUCCCUCUCACAGAUGAGGCAGGGCCCAGCAGGAGGAGAACAGGUGACAAGAGGGUGGUGGAGCAAGGCCUGGUCAAGAAGAGGACUGUCUUCCUUCCCUCCCAUUCUCCAGAAAACUAUCAAGCAUGGGGUCCUGUGGGCCUUAGCUACUCUCUUGGCUCCAGUUACAGACAAGGUCCUUUUACCUCACCCUACACUUCCCUUAUCUCUACCAAUAUAAAUAAACAUGCUGCAUUUGCCUGGGGUCUUCUUCUCCCAUCAGGAGUUAGAGCCCCAGCUGGCCCCCCACCUUUGUUUCUCUUUGUUCUUUUGUAACUUUCUUUCUUUACCUUUUCUCAAUCUCCCACCGUCAUUUCACUAGUGGACCCUUCAGCCACACAGGCCAUGGCAGGUGGACAGUCCUGUGAGUCUUGAUACACAUCUAGUUUUAUGUAGUCCACAUCACAGAACCCAGAGCAGUUCCGACACCCUGAAAUUCUCCCACAUACUUUGUAGUCAGGCCUUCAUCACACCCAGCCCCUGGCAAAUACUGAUCUCUUCUCUGCUUCUGUGAAUUUGCUUUCUCCAUGGUGUUAUGUAAACUUCAUGAUGCAUAGUGUGACCUCAUAAGACUGACACUUUCUCUGGGCAAAAUGUCUUUGAGAUUUAUCCAUGUUGCUGCUUUUUGCUGGUUUGUUUGCAUCCACCUGACAAAGGAUAUUUGGAUUCUAGUUUUGUUGACUGUAAUAAAGCUGCUAUAAACUUUAAUGUGAAAAAGCUGCUCUAAAUGUAAGAGUCAUAUUAAAACAAAGGUAAUGUAUACUCCUUGAAACUUAUUGUUUCCUAGGGGCCAGGGAUUUAGCUCAGUGGUUCUGGUGCCUGCCUUGUAAGCACAAGGACUGGAGUUCAAUCUCCGGUACCAAAAAAAAAAAAAAAAAGAAACUUAUAGUUGAC